rnacentral:misc_RNA from 2 species
AACGCACCUUGCACUCUUUGGUAUUCCGAAGAGUAUGUCUGUUUGAGUGUCAUGAAACUCUCAACCCCCUCAUUUUGUAAUGAAACGAGCGUGGGCUUGGAUUAUGGUUGUUGCUGGCGUAAAGUCGGCUCAACUGAAAUAUACGAGCAACCCAUUUUGAAAUAGACGGUUUGACUCGGCGUAAUAAUUAUUUCGCUGAGGACGUCCAAUUCAAUGUAGUGGUGCUUCUAAUGCAUUAAUCAUUUAAGCUUUAGACCUCAAAUCAGUCAAGACUACCCGCUGAACUUAA